rnacentral:tRNA from 1 species
GCCAGGGUGGCUCAGUCAGUUAAGCGUCUGACUUCAGUUCAGGUCAUCAUCUGGUGGUUCGUGGGUUCAAGCCCCACAUCAGGCU